ACCAGCAAUGGGUUUAAGGGUCGCGCGACAAUCGAAGCAUUCAAAUGGAAUUAGACAAGGCAGCAUUUAUUGGCGUUUCUGUUGCUGCUGCGAGACCAUUUAAUUGCCUCUCAAGGUGGGGAAAAAGCAAAAGCAAAUCACAGGUAACACGCAAUAAAGCGACAUUCGCCAAAGCAGCGAACGCAUUUCGGUAUCGCGUACACGAGAGAUAACCAAUAGACCAUUGUGCAGCAGUGUUGCCAAUUUAGCUUAUUUAAGGCUAGAUCUAGCUUAUUUGAAAACGGAACAGCUUGAAAAAUUAUGAAAAUGCUUAUAGCUUUAAAUCUAACCUUUUUCAAUUUCACUUUGCUUAGUUUUUCCUUUUUAUAUCCUACAUGUAUUUUUUGGUAUUUUUUAAGACAAAUCGAACAAAAAGUAUAUUUGUAGUACAUAUUUUGGUGUAUCAUGGUAUUUUAGAAUUUAUUUAUGGUUUAUUUUCGUUGAAAAGUUUCGGUCUAUACAGAAACUUGCUUGGUGAUCGUGAAAUGUGUAAAUGUGUAAAACAUGCCAAAAACAGUUUACAAACAAAACUUUCAUCGACGAGCAUCGAUUUCCUCAAAAAUAAAAUAAUACCGCCUGAUGCAAAGAUUGAUGUCUUGAAAGAUGACUUGGAUGAAUUUGCUGUGUCUUCAUUAUAUAUGGGAUAUUUAUUUGAAAAGGAAAUUAAAGAGAAAAAUUAUAAUAAUGAAGUUAACGAAAUCAGAGAGAUGUGCAAGGAUUUUAUAAAGGAGCUAAUUAUCCAACUCAGAGAAAGACUUCCAGAUAAUUUUGAGCCAUUAGAAAAACUGCAAGUUUUUGCAGCAGAAAAUGUACUCAAACAUAAUAAAAAUCAUAAUGAUCUCAUUUCCAUAUUGGAACACUUUAACUAUAAGAAUAUAGAUGGAAUUCUUGCCCAAUAUGGCAAAAUUCAAUUAGUCCCUUGGCAAAGUACAGAUGACACGAUACAAUUUUGGUCAGAAGUACUGACUUAUAAAGAUGCUGGCAAAAACAAGCCUUUUGAAGAAAUCGCUUUAUUUGCCAUUGGCAUUUUAAGUCUACCGUGGUCAAAUGCUGCUAUUGAACGACCCCCAUCAAAUGAAUAUUGUUAAGACCAAGCUAAGGAACAAAAUGACCGUUAAAUCCUUAAACUCAAUAUUAAAUAUAAGAUAUGGAUUGCGCCGUCAUGGAAAAUGUUGUCACAACUAUCAAUUGCCGGAGAAAUAUUUGAAUUUAAUACGUUCCAGCGAUAAAUAUACCGAUUCAAGCAAUUGCGAAAUGG